rnacentral:rRNA from 1 species
GAUGAACGCUGGCGGCGUGCUUAACACAUGCAAGUCGAACGGAAAGGCCCAAGCUUGCUUGGGUACUCGAGUGGCGAACGGGUGAGUAACACGUGGGUGAUCUGCCCUGCACUUCGGGAUAAGCCUGGGAAACUGGGUCUAAUACCGGAUAGGACCACAUUUUGGAUGGUGUGGUGGAAAGUUUUUCGGUGUGGGAUGAGCUCGCGGCCUAUCAGCUUGUUGGUGGGGUAAUGGCCUACCAAGGCGUCGACGGGUAGCCGGCCUGAGAGGGUGUACGGCCACAGUGGGACUGAGAUACGGCCCAGACUCCUACGGGAGGCAGCAGGGGGGAAUAUUGCACAAUGGGCGCAAGCCUGAUGCAGCGACGCCGCGUGGGGGAUGACGGCCUUCGGGUUGUAAACUCCUUUCGCUAGGGACGAAGCGUUAUGUGACGGUACCUGGAGAAGAAGCACCGGCUAACUACGUG